rnacentral:tRNA from 2 species
UGGGCGGUGGCUCAAUGGUAGAGCACUCGCCUAGCAUGUGUGAGGCACUGAGUUCAAUCUCAGCACUACAU